rnacentral:rRNA from 1 species
UACAGAGACGGCAAGCGUUGUUCGGAUUCAUUGGGCGUAAAGGGUGCGUAGGCGGUUGGCUAAGUCGGAUGUGAAAUCUCACAGCCUAACUGUGAUAGGUCAUUCGAAACUGGCUGGCUCGAGGACUGGAGAGGAGACUGGAAUGGUCGGUGUAGCGGUGAAAUGCGUAGAGAUCGACCAGAACACCGGUGGCGAAGGCGGGUCUCUGGACAGUUCCUGACGCUGAGGCACGAAAGCCAGGGGAGCAAACGGG